rnacentral:rRNA from 1 species
AUGUUCUUAUGGAUUGUUGGAGGCCCUCAAUCAUUUGCUCAAGCUGAGAACCGUUUUGUACGGUCACUUUGGACAGUUCAUACAAAGUUUAAGGAAGUUCUGUUAUGUUUGCGCAAGUUAGCGAAAGAUAACAUAAAACCUACAGAUCCUACUUUUAGCCAUGAGCAUGAAAAGAUUAAGGAAGAGCAUUUCUAG